UUGCCCUCCUCAAAAGCUGGCUCUUUGAACACUUCCUUCACCCGUAAGUAGAAGAUUCCACAGCUAAAAUUCCAGAUUCUCAUGUCGUGGCGUCAGCAUAGGGUUUUUAAUUUGUUUUCUUUUCCUGUGUGUGUAUACAGAUAUCCUACAGAUUCAGAGAAGCAGAUUCUAGCUCAGCAGACUGGUUUGUCCAGGACACAGGUCAGGCCAAUUCACAUUACUUGUUGAAUUCAACUUCACUCGAAUCAUUCAUCAAAAAGAAAAAACUUCACUCGAAUCAUUGCUUAGUAUUUAGAACAUUCAAUUGAGAAUUCUGUUUUCGUUGACAGGUUUCGAAUUGGUUUAUCAAUGCGAGAGUGAGACUAUGGAAGCCAAUGGUGGAAGAGAUUCACUCACUCGAAUCAGAGCAAAAAGCUGAUGUUGCAUCCUCGUCGUCUUUGGCGAGUAUCGCAAAUAAACGGACGAGAUUUUCUUCCGAACAGGAGGAGGAUCACCGUGGUUAUUCGUCAAGCGACGGCGUUUCUCUGGCCCUGGCUCUGCCACCC
rnacentral:lncRNA from 1 species